rnacentral:rRNA from 1 species
GGAUCAUUAUUGAAUUGGGUUGCUGCUGGCUCUCUCCAAAGGAAAGCAUGUGCACACCCCUGUCAUCUUUAUAUUUCCACCUGUGCACCAUUUGUAGACUUUUGUCUAUGUUGCUUCAUAUACACAUGUUAAUAAAGAAUGUUGUGAUUUUAAUUUAUACAACUUUCAGCAACGGAUCUCUUGGCUCUCGCAUCGAUGAAGAACGCAGCGAAAUGCGAUAAGUAAUGUGAAUUGCAGAAUUCAGUGAAUCAUCGAAUCUUUGAACGCAUCUUGCGCUCCUUGGUAUUCCGAGGAGCAUGCCUGUUUGAGUGUCAUCAUUAACCUAUCAAACCUUUUUUAUAUAUGGUUUGGAUGUGGAGGAUUUUAUUUUUGCUGGGCCCCCCUUGUAAAGGGGUUCAGCUCCUCUGAAAUGCAUUAGCAGAAUGAUCUGUCCCAUUCAUUGGUGUGAUAACUAAUCUAUGCUAUUGGAUGGGUGAGGCAGUUCAGAUAUAUACAUUUUUAUGUGACCUCAAAUCAGGUAGGACUACCCGCUGAACUUAAGCAUAUCAAUAAGCGGAGGAAAAGAAACUAACAAGGAUUCCCUUAGUAACUGCGAGUGAAGCGGGAAAAGCUCAAAUUUAAAAUCUGGCAGUCUUCUGGCUGUCCGAGUUGUAAUCUAGAGAAGUGCUAUCCGCGCUGGACCGUGUACAAGUCUCCUGGAAUGGAGCAUCAUAGAGGGUGAGAAUCCCGUCUUUGACACGGACUGCCAGGGCUUUUGUGAUGUGCUUUCAAAGAGUCGAGUUGUUUGGGAAUGCAGCUCAAAAUGGGUGGUAAAUUCCAUCUAAAGCUAAAUAUUGGCGAGAGACCGAUAGCGAACAAGUACCGUGAGGGAAAGAUGAAAAGAACUUUGGAAAGAGAGUUAAACAGUAUGUGAAAUUGCUGAAAGGGAAACGCUUGAAGUCAGUUCACGUUGUCCAGAGAUCAACCCUUGCUUUUGCUUGGUGCACUUUCUGGUUUGACGGGGUCAGCAUCAAUUUCGACCAUUGGAAAAAGGUCAAGGGAAUGUGGCAUCUUUUGGAUGUGUUUAUAGUCCUUGGUUGCAUACAAUGGUUUUUUUUUCGGGAUUGAGGAACUCAGCAUGCACACA